rnacentral:rRNA from 1 species
AGUGAACGCUGGCGGUAGGCCUAACACAUGCAAGUCGAACGAGUGGCGGACGGGUGAGGAAUGCAUCGGAAUCUACUCUUUCGUGGGGGAUAACGUAGGGAAACUUACGCUAAUACCGCAUACGAAUGAAUGAGCCGAUGCCCGAUUAGCUAGUUGGCGGGGUAAGAGCCCACCAAGGCGACGAUCGGUAGCUGGUCUGAGAGGAUGAUCAGCCACACUGGAACUGAGACACGGUCCAGACUCCUACGGGAGGCAGCAGUGGGGAAUAUUGGACAAUGGGCGCAAGCCUGAUCCAGCCAUACCGCGUGGGUGAAGAAGGCCUUCGGGUUGUAAAGCCCUUUUGUUGGGAAAGCGAUACCCAAAGAAUAAGCACCGGCUAACUUCGUGCCAGCAGCCGCGGUAAUACGAAGGGUGCAAGCGUUACUCGGAAUUACUGGGCGUAAAGCGUGCGUAGGUGGUUGUUUAAGUCUGUCGUGAAAGCCCUGGGCUCAACCUGGGAAUUGCGAUGGAAACUGGGCGACUAGAGUGUGGCAGAGGAUAGUGGAAUUCCUGGUGUAGCAGUGAAAUGCGUAGAGAUC